UACAGAGGGGGCAAGCGUUAUUCGGAAUUGUUGGGCGUAAAGGGCGCGUAGGCGGCCUGGCAAGUGGAAGGUGAAAUCCCUCGGCUUAACCGAGGAACUGCCUCCCAAACUGCUUGGCUUGAGACCGGGAGAGGUGAGUGGAAUUCCCAGUGUAGCGGUGAAAUGCGUAGAUAUUGGGAGGAACACCAGUGGCGAAGGCGGCUCACUGGACCGGUACUGACGCUGAUGCGCGAAAGCGUGGGGAGCAAACGGG
rnacentral:rRNA from 1 species